rnacentral:rRNA from 1 species
CUUAGGGGAGCCGCAAUUGGGGAAUAUUGGCAAAGGGUGGAAAUCUUAACCCAGCAAAGUGGCUUGAGGAAGAAGGUCCUAAGGAUUGUUAACCUUCUUUGUAAGGGAGCAAUAAGCUUUACGAGUAGAUUGAUGGGAGUCCUGUAAGAAUAAGCAUGGGAAAACUCCGCCACAGCCGCGGGGGUAAUACGGGGGACGCAAGUUUUUUCCGGAUUUAUGGGGUAAAGGGGGUGCGUAGGGGAUUCAUAUGUCAGCUGAGAUCCCUGGGGUCUCCCCCGCGAGAGCCCAUAAAACUUGUUUUUGAGAUAGGAAAGGCAGAGGCGAAAUUGAAGUGUAGCUUUGAUAUGCAUAGUUGCCCCAGGAACUAGGAAUACGAAAGCCAGCGACCCACCCUAGAACGGCCAUGGAGCCAGGAAAGGGGGGGGAUCAACCGGGAUUAAACCCCUUGUUGUUCCCCCCAUAAAAGGAGGAAUAUGGGGGUUGGGCGAUAACCAAUCAGUCCGCAGCGAAAGCGAUAA